AUUGAACGCUGGCGGCAGGCCUAACACAUGCAAGUCGAACGAGUGGCGGACGGGUGAGUAAUGUCUGGGCAACUGCCUGAUGGCGGGGGAUAACUACUGGAAACGGUAGAUAAUACCGCAUACUAUCAGAUGUGCCCAGAUGGGAUUAGCUAGUUGGUGGGGUAACGGCUCACCAAGGCGACGAUCCCUAGCUGGUCUGAGAGGAUGACCAGCCACACUGGAACUGAGACACGGUCCAGACUCCUACGGGAGGCAGCAGUGGGGAAUAUUGCACAAUGGGCGAAAGCCUGAUACAGCCAUGCCGCGUGUGUGAAGAAGGUCUUCGGAUUGUAAAGCACUUUAAGUUGGGAGGCGUUACCAACAGAAUAAGCACCGGCUAACUUCGUGCCAGCAGCCGCGGUAAUAC
rnacentral:rRNA from 1 species